ACGAGAGAUGAGGAGCUUGCUCUUCAAAUCGAGUGGCGAACGGGUGAGUAACGCGUGAGGAACCUGCCUCAAAGAGGGGGACAACAGUUGGAAACGACUGCUAAUACCGCAUAAGCCCACGGCUCGGCGUCGAGCAGAGGGAAAAGGAGUGAUCCGCUUUGAGAUGGCCUCGCGUCCGAUUAGCUAGUUGGUGAGGUAAUGGCCCACCAAGGCGACGAUCGGUAGCCGGACUGAGAGGUUGAACGGCCACAUUGGGACUGAGACACGGCCCAGACUCCUACGGGAGGCAGCAGUGGGGAAUAUUGCACAAUGGGGGAAACCCUGAUGCAGCGACGCCGCGUGGAGGAAGAAGGUCUUCGGAUUGUAAACUCCUGUUGUUGAGGAAGAUAAUGACGGUACUCAACAAGGAAGUGACGGCUAACUACGUGCCAGCAGCCGCGGUAAAACGUAGGUCACAAGCGUUGUCCGGAAUUACUGGGUGUAAAGGGAGCGCAGGCGGGAGAACAAGUUGGAAGUGAAAUCCAUGGGCUCAACCCAUGAACUGCUUUCAAAACUGUUUUUCUUGAGUAGUGCAGAGGUAGGCGGAAUUCCCGGUGUAGCGGUGGAAUGCGUAGAUAUCGGGAGGAACACCAGUGGCGAA
rnacentral:rRNA from 1 species